rnacentral:lncRNA from 1 species
GUUUUUCUAAUGUGUUCUCUUUAUUCAAAACCUUUAUUUUAAGGAGUAUUUGUAGGGGCCUCAUGGGUUCCUGUAAGCAAGUGGCCUAUAGGUAAAAAUAAACCUAUAAUAUUGGUUUCACACUAAAAGAUGGAAUUCUUUCUGUAAAAAGUUCACACAUUGCAAGUCCGUGGUUCAAAUUACUCUUCAGCAGUUGAGACACAUCUUGCUCCAAUUAAUAACGUCAUGCUACUCACUAUAAAAAAACCCAAGGGCAGACAAGAGAAGACAGGGUUAUCGCCAUUUUCAGGGUCCUUUGCUGUAACCCAACCCAUUGACUUCAUCACUGCUCUCUUCCAUGUUGAAAAACGAAUUUCACUCUCUGUGGCUUGGAUUUGUGGUUCAUAUCGUUCCAUCAAGAUCGUAGACAAAUCUUCAGGUUCAAGACUCCAAACAUUUACCCCUUCUGCAGCUCCGGCUGCCAUGGCAGCUCCCAGGGCCGUCGUUUCAGGCAUGACAGACUUAACUACCGGAAUGUGCAGAAUAUCUGCCUGUAGCUGCAUAAGAAUCCUGUUGUUGGUCAUUCCUCCAUCGACCUGCAAAUGACUGAGUGGAAUUCCACAGUCGCGAUUCAUGGCAUCCAAAAUCUCUCGGGUUUGGAAACAAACAGCUUCUAACGCAGCAAAGGCAAUAUGGCAUUUGUUGGUGAACUGAGUGAGACCACAGAUUAUCCCUCUUGCACUGGGUUCCCAGUAAGGUGCAUACAGCCCCGAAAAGGCUGGGACAAAGUAGCAGCCAUAGGAAGUGCCUACCUCUCUUGCAAGAUUUUCAACUUCCCCUGAGGUUGUUAUAAUUUCGAAAUUGUCUCUUAGCCAGCGAAUAACAGCACCAGCUAUAGCAACAGAACCUUCUAAGGCAUAAAAAACUGGCUUAUUUUUGCCUAGUUUGUAAGCCAAUGUGGUCAGAAGGCCAUGUUCAGAAAACACACAUUUCUGGCCUGUAUUACAUAGUAAAAAACAGCCUGUUCCGUAUGUGUUUUUGGCUUGACCUUCAUGGAAACACAUUUGUCCCACUAAAGCAGCAGACUGAUCCCCCAAACAUCCAGAUAUUGGCACGCCUUCCAAGGCCCCUGAUGUCAUCAGGCCAUAGAUCUCAGAAGAACUGCAUACAUUUGGGAGGAUGCUCAUUGGAAUUUCAAAAAAGUCACAGAGAUCUUUAUCCCAUUCCAAAGAGUGGAUGUUAAAAAGCAUCGUUCUGCAUGCAUUUGUUACAUCGGUGCAAUGGAUGCCUCCAUUGACUCCUCCGGUCAUACACCAGAUGAGCCAAGAGUCGAUGGUUCCAAACAUGGCUCUGCCUUCCUCAACAGCCUUUUGAAUGGGUCUUAGGUUGUCCAGCAUCCACCGCAGCUUCACAGCACUGAAACCAGUAAUCAGGUUGCCAAUUUGUCAAGUCUACAAGAUAAUGAAUAUGGG